rnacentral:rRNA from 1 species
CACGUAGGGUGCGAGCGUUGUCCGGAAUUACUGGGCGUAAAGAGCUCGUAGGUGGUUUGUCGCGUUGUUCGUGAAAACUCACAGCUCAACUGUGGGCGUGCGGUCGAUACGGGCAUCACUGGAGUUCGGCAGGGGAGACUGGAAUUCCUGGUGUAGCGGUGAAAUGCGCAGAUAUCAGGAGGAACACCGGUGGCGAAGGCGGCCUGCUGGGCAGUUGCUGACACUGAGGCGCGACAGCGUGGGGAGCAAACAGG